rnacentral:tRNA from 1 species
GGGGCCAUAGCUCAGCCGGGAGAGCGCCUGCUUUGCACGCAGGAGGUCGGCGGUUCGAUCCCGCCUGGCUCCACCA